rnacentral:lncRNA from 1 species
CUGUUUCCUGGCAACCAGCUCACUACUCCCUGAAGGGCACUUUCAAGAAAGUUCAAUCAAUGGAAGGGUCAAAUGUUUUCUUUUUCAAACGUCCAUUUUGCAUGUAAUGGCUGCUCCAUGCAGAGUUUACGGGUGUUCUCUUGUUCAUGAGAUCUAGCGUCCUUCUGCACAAAUGCAUGUGCUAUGGGUUUGGGUGCUACAGCACAACAAUAAUCAUCUUUGUACAUACAUUGUCAUAUAUAUAUAUAUGCAAAUAGAUCCCCAGUAUAAAUUCUUGGAGAAAGACGCCCAUUGGUGUAGGAGUCUGCCUGAAACAAGACGCUAAACCGCCUGAGCAGCUAGGCCGCUAAUGAAUGCCUCUCCUCCCCAAGAAGCAAACGCUCCUGCUGCUCCCAGCUGUUUGGUAGGCUCCGACCUGCUACUGUCAGGUAACAAGAAGCCACAUCCUGAUUCGCAUCCUCCUCCCGAAACCCUGCAACUUCCUGAAUUCCCGUGCUCCUCAGGCGGGACUUCCUGUUGGAGAUGGAGCUAAAGAAGCUGAAAAACUCCUCCAUCCUUCCUAAGAUAGAUCUCAUUUAUGCAUGAGGUCAGACAAAUUUCCCUAAUGCUGCCCUUGAGGGGAUAUCCGGGGAUAACAAAGGCUGUCUUCCAUGCCUCUCCCCGAAUCGAGAUGUAAACCAGAAAACAUAAAAUAAAAAGCCAAAAAUCAUUCCAAAAAGUCGACAUUAAAUUGACAAAAAGACCCCGU